CAAUAAAUGAGGCACAAACAGAGAAGUAAGAAAAAAUGUCUGCGUUCUGGAAUUUUAUUUUUAUAUUCAGCACCACGUAUUCCAUAAAACCUGGUGGACACUGGGUUUCUGCACAAUCUCUCACAGAGCCACCAGUUUAUCAGCCCGAUAAAGAGCUCAGUGUGGAUAUCGGAGACUCGGCUACUCUGUGCUGCUGUGUUUCUAAAAAGCAAUAUGGGAUGAUGGCCUGGUUCAAGCAACCAACAAGAAAAAAGCCUCAAACUAUUGUCACUUUCUAUACAGCUGCUGGAAAUAAAUUUAAUGAAGAAUUAGAAAUUUUUCAUUUUCAACUAGAAAAAUCUUCAAACUGCUUCAAUCUGACCAUUUUAAACAUCACUCAGGCCGAUAAGGCCGUGUACUACUGUGCACUGACGAGACCCAACAUCGUGUUCGCAGAAGGAACUUAUUUAAAAAUUAAAGGUGAAACUGUUACAAUUUCAUCCGAAACAUCUAAACCAGCUCUGUUUGAUAAUUCAGCUGUGUGUGAACCAACACUACAUAAAAACAUUAACUCUCAAGAGAAAGCAGUGCUCAUUUUGGGAUUGACUUUGGGUUUGUGCGCACUUCUGAUUUUCUGCCUCACUUAUUUUCUACUGAGGAGAAGAAAAUGUGAUCAAAUACCUCUGAAAUGA